rnacentral:rRNA from 1 species
CGUGUAGGUGGUUGAUUAAGUUGGCUGUGAAAUACCUGGGCUUAACCUAGGAACUGCAGCCAAUACUGGUCGACUAGAGUACAGUAGAGGGUAGUGGAAUUUCCGGUGUAGCGGUGAAAUGCGUAGAUAUCGGAAGGAACACCAGUGGCGAAGGCGACUACCUGGACUGUGACUGACACUGAGGCGCGAAAGCGUGGGUAGCAAACA